UACGGGGGGGGCAAGCGUUGUUCGGAAUUACUGGGCGUAAAGGGCUCGUAGGCGGCCAACUAAGUCGGACGUGAAAUCCCUGGGCUCAACCCAGGAACUGCGUCCGAUACUGGUUGGCUUGAAUCCGGGAGAGGGAUGCAGAAUUCCAGGUGUAGCGGUGAAAUGCGUAGAUAUCUGGAGGAACAUCGGUGGCGAAGGCGGCAUCCUGGACCGGUAUUGACGCUGAGGCGCGAAAGCCAGGGGAGCAAACGGG
rnacentral:rRNA from 1 species